AGGGAUAUGUUGUAGUGAGGUCUACAGUUUGAUUGCAAAUCAGAUAUAUGGGGUUCGAAUCCUCCAUAUCUCUUCA
rnacentral:tRNA from 1 species